GAUGAACGCUGGCGGCGUGCCUAAUACAUGCAAGUCGAGCGAACAGACGAGGAGCUUACUCCCCUGACGUUAGCGGCGGACGGGUGAGUAACACGUGGAUAACCUACCUAUAAGACUGGGAUAACUUCGGGAAACCGGAGCUAAUACCGGAUAACAUGUUGAACCGCAUGGUUCAACAGUGAAAGACGGUCUUGCUGUCACUUAUAGAUGGAUCCGCGUCGCAUUAGCUAGUUGGUAAGGUAACGGCUUACCAAGGCAACGAUGCGUAGCCGACCUGAGAGGGUGAUCGGCCACACUGGAACUGAGACACGGUCCAGACUCCUACGGGAGGCAGCAGUAGGGAAUCUUCCGCAAUGGGCGAAAGCCUGACGGAGCAACGCCGCGUGAGUGAAGAAGGUCUUCGGAUCGUAAAACUCUGUUAUUAGGGAAGAACAAAUGUGUAAGUAACUAUGCACGUCUUGACGGUACCUAAUCAGAAAGCCACGGCUAACUACGUG
rnacentral:rRNA from 1 species